UCUUCCUCCUGCUGCAGCACCUUCAUCAUCAUCAAGCCCCAGGGAAAGUGGUUUGACAAGAGGAUGCAGGAAACAUGACCCAGGAAACAGAAAUGUUUUUAAGAAGUCGGGGAAAUUUUUUUCUCCUUGGUAAAACACCUGCAGCUCUGAAGACAAGAUAAAUGAUGGAGUUUCAAAGAAACUGUCGACUUCUUCAUAAAGACCUGGAGGGAAAACCGACCCAUAGUUUGCAGUAAAGUAUGAAAAAUAUUUUAUUAAAAGUACAGGUUGGACUAUUGGACUGAGAAGGAUCUGCUGUUGCAAAUCAUUUUGUCUUUAGGAGUUUUUAGUGCUGUGCUAUUCAUGGUUGAAAAUCAGUUGUGAUAUGAAAGAAAAUGGCUGCCAAGGAUUUGGCAAAUACAUUUUAGAGACUGCAGGAAGGGACUCAGCUUAGUAAAUUACUGUAAUAAAACUUCAUAGCAUACCUAUAUAUUAGUGAUAAUUGAAUGUGGCUAUGUUGACAUACUAUAGCUGCAUUAAGAUAAUUAUCUUUUGGAUGUAUAUUAAAUGUUUUUGGGUGAAAAUAGUGUCUUUUAUUUACUUUUGAAAAUACACAUCUUUUUAUUUGUUUAUAUCUACUUCAUAUUUAGUUUUAAAUUGAAUCUACAUAUUUCAAAGACAGGUCCAUACUUUAAUAAGUCAAUAGUUGAAACAAAUUUAAUUUACGUUCAACAAUUUAAAUUUAAUUGUGAAAAACGGUUUUGCACGCGGCCUCUUGAAAUUUAAUCUUGUUUUCAUUUCUUUUGCAGGACAACUUCACAUCGAUCCUCAGUAGGAGGAUGCAGUGUUGGGUUUGUUUGGAACGUUUUCCUGUUAAAAAGAAGUUCUUCAUUUUGGAAAUUCUUCCUGUUAACCCUCUUAUGACCAAAAUUGUAACUGGGCCGCCUGGUAUUCAUUUUUUAUUUUUAUGGCUGUAAAAUGUGCAUUGUGGUUGUUCUUUUUUCCAGAACAACCUCAGCUUUCAGUAUCUGAUAGUUAUUUAACAUUUCUAUUAAAAAUUGGGACAAACAGUUUAAAGAGGGAGAAAAACAAAUCUGAAUUGAAAUUUAAAGGUUUAUUACUGAACAAGAAUUUUGAGAUGACGGGGCAAACAAUUGAAAAAGAACAAUUUCAACUGAACUAUAUUACAUAAAUGCAGAGAAAACUGAAGCCUGGCCUCCAAUUAAUACGUUUUUAUUAAAUUAUUUCAGGCGUUUUCAUUUGUUGUCUAAAGCAGUUCCUCUCCAGCUGGCAGCAGAGUAAAUGUUAAUCACUUUUUAAUCAAAAGUUAUUUUAUUUAAAUCCAUACUUUAUCUAGAACACUUCAGGUUGAGAGGGUGCUGGUACCCAUCUCCAGGGGUCAAAGGGCAAGAGGCAGGUUACACACUGGACAGGUCACCAAUCCUUCACUUGGCUGAUUUUUUUGCACAAUUCAUCUUUUGGCAAAAAAACAAAAAAAAGUGGUGGUCUUUUUAUUUAUA